rnacentral:rRNA from 1 species
GACGAACGCUGGCGGCGUGCUUAACACAUGCAAGUCGAACGGAAAGGCCCUGCUUUUGUGGGGUGCUCGAGUGGCGAACGGGUGAGUAACACGUGAGUAACCUGCCCUUGACUUUGGGAUAACUUCAGGAAACUGGGGCUAAUACCGGAUAUGAGCUCCUGCUGCAUGGUGGGGGUUGGAAAGUUUCGGCGGUUGGGGAUGGACUCGCGGCUUAUCAGCUUGUUGGUGGGGUAGUGGCUUACCAAGGCUUUGACGGGUAGCCGGACUGAGAGGGUGACCGGCCACAUUGGGACUGAGAUACGGCCCAGACUCCUACGGGAGGCAGCAGUGGGGAAUAUUGCACAAUGGGCGGAAGCCUGAUGCAGCAACGCCGCGUGCGGGAUGACGGCCUUCGGGUUGUAAACCGCUUUCGCCUGUGACGAAGCGUGAGUGACGGUAAUGGGUAAAGAAGCACCGGCUAACUACGUG